CACGCCCUAAACGAUGUCAACUGGAUGUUGGAGGGGUUAAACCCUUUAGUGUCGUAGCUAACGCGAGAAGUUGACCGCCUGGGGAGUACGGCCGCAAGGCUAAAACUCAAAGGAAUUGACGGGGACCCGCACAAGCGGUGGAUGAUGUGGUUUAAUUCGAUGCAACGCGAAAAACCUUACCCACCUUUGACAUGUACGGAAUCCUUUAGAGAUAGAGGAGUGCUCGAAAGAGAGCCGUAACACAGGUGC
rnacentral:rRNA from 1 species